rnacentral:snoRNA from 1 species
UGCAGUGGGUGGAGAGCUGCUGCAGCUGGUGCAGUGCAACAGUAGUUCAGCAUUUGGCAUUGCUGGUUUUCCUUCUGUCUGUUAAACCUGGUAUUUUUGCUGGUACAGCU